UACGCACUCCCUUCGUCCGAAAAUACUUGUCAUAGGAAUGGAUGUAUCUAGAUGUAUUAUAGUUCAGAUACAUCCAUUUCCAUUCAUUUGUAUGACAAGUAAUUCCGGACGUAGGCAACAAG
rnacentral:pre_miRNA from 1 species